GGUUUAAUUUCUUCUCUCUUUGUGGUUUAUGUGACGCACGGCUCUUGGGCGUCUACCAAUAAUCAUAGUAUAAGAUUGUCUGCUAAAAUUCUAUAAAGGAGAUUACUAAUUACAACCAUUGCGUGUAUCAGCCUUCUCUGUGCACAUUACGCUAUUUGAAUUCGGAAACCCAUUAUCAUAGACGCAGGGGUAAUUGCCUUCACAAAACUUGGCCCCCAAUGUGGGGCUGGACUAAUCGACUCUCCUUCGACACCCCGAUAACCACGGUCAGAGGAUGUACAGAUCCAUUUAAAGCAGCGUUGCAAGAUGGAAGCAGGAAUAUGGGAGAAGAUGGCCGGUUCACACUGGAUAUGCAGUGGUCACACAGCAUGAGGUAGCACAUGUCUGUGAGGCAGAACUGAAGGCACUUACUGAGGCGUGUAAAUUGGCUGAGGGGAAGAAGGUGAACAUCUAUACAGAUUCAAGGUAUGGUUUUGGUAUUGCACAUGACUAUGGACCCAUAUGGCGGGCUAGAGACUUUCUAACCUCUGCAGGUCAGCCCAUUAAAAACAAAGACUAAGUGUUUGAACUAAUGAACUCACUACUGCUUCCAGAGGAAGUAGCCAUUGUCAAGGUUAAGGCAUAUAUAUACCAGACAACAAACCUGUGAGGCUAGGGGCAGCAACAGGGCAGAUGGGGCUGCAAAAGAGGCAGCAGUGAAGCCUUGGAAACCCGAGGUAAUCCCUGUCGGCGUCCUGGAGCCUCACCACAUGUCUGAAGAUGUGUUGAUUAUACUGUCUUCACAGGCAGAUGAAGGAGAAAAGAGCUCCUGGACUCAGAGAGGAGCAGUGCCAAAUGGGCAGGGACUCUGGGAAGUGUCAGGAAAAAUAUGCCUACCCAGAGCCCUCUAUCCUAUGAUGGCUCAGGAGGCCCACGGGCCCACUCACCUAUGGAAAGGUGCCAUGGUAAGUGUGGUUAAUACAGGGUGGAUUGCUCCAGGGUUUUCUCUGUGCACUGAAAAACCCUGGUCAAGUGGUGAAAACUCCAAGCAAGCACACCCCCAGACCACUUUACCCGUUUCAGAGACUGCAGAUAGACUAUAUACAACUACCAAAGGUAGGAGUGUAUGAAUUUGUUCUCGUGUGUGAUCUCGUUUCAGGUUGGCUGGAAUCCUUCCCAAUAGCCAAAGCAAAUCCCAAGAAUACGGCAAAGAAACUGGUCAGUAAACUAAUAUGCAGGUAUGGUGUUCCUUAAGUUAUUGAGUCAGAUAGAGGUUCUCAUUUCGCAGUUGAAGUGAUGAGGGAAGUUAUGCAAGCAUUAGGGGUGAUCCAAGCUUUCCGAGUUGAGCAUUUGAAUGGAUAAAAGGCCAAAGGAGAUCCAGAGGCCCUGGACAGAAUGCUUGCCUCUGGCUCUAGAUUAAGUAAGGACUACCAAGAGGACAGGGUUGUCCCCAUUUGAGAUCCUGUUUAGAAGUGCCCCCAGGUUAGGGUUGUACUUUCCCCAGCAGCUGCAGAUGAAUAAUGACAGUCUGACCAGUUACAUACGG